AAUAAAAGCAGGCUGCCCGAGCCAGCAGCGGUAAUCUGCUGUGGUCUUUUUCCACGGUUUGGAAGCUUUAUUUUUUUGCUCUUUGCAAUAAAUAUUGUUGCUGCUAAUUCUUUGAGUCCACACUGCUUUUGUGAGUUGUAGCACUCACCCGAAGGUUUGCAGCUUCACUCCUGAAGCCAGUGAGACCACGAACCCAACGAGAGGAACGAAGAAUUCCAGACGCGCUGCAUUAAGAGCUGUAACACUCACUGCGAAGGUCUGCAGCUUCACUUUUGAAGCCAGCAAGACCACGAACCCAUCAGAAGGAAGAAACUCCAAACACAUCCGAGCAGCAGAAGGAACAAACUCCGGACACGCUGCCUUUAAGAACUGUGACACUCAGAGCGAGGGUCUGCGGCAUCACAUUUGAAGUCAGUGAGACCAAGAACCCACCGAUUCCGGACGCGAGCAGGUUGCUUCAGGGUAUAGACAUUUGGCACAGUACUGCAGCAUAAACCCAUCAAGAUUAAGGAAACCAUGGGGGCCGAGCAUGGUGGUUCACACCUGUAAUCCCAGCACUUUGGAAGGUUGAGGUGAGUGAAUCACUUGAGAUCAGAAGUUCGAGACCAACUUGGCCAACAUGGUGAAACCCUGUGUCUACUUAUAAUACAAAAAUCAGCUGGGCGUCAUGGCACACGCUGUAAUCCCAGCUACUUGGGAGGCUGAGGUGGGAGAAUCAUUUGAACCCAGGAGGCAGAGGUUGCAGUGAGCUGAGAUCGUGCCACUGCAUUCCAGCUUGGGCAACAAAAAACAACCAAACAAACGAAAAACAGAAAAAAACCACCACCACCACCACCAAUGACAAAAAACUGGGCAUUCUUAAAAAUGAGAAAAAAUGAAAUAAUAAAUUAUUUCCUGGUCUAUGGCAUAAUACAUAAUCUGUUAUUGCAAAUGUCUUAGGUAUAUUCAAAAAGAAUGUCUGGGACCUGGUCUAGUGGCUCACACCUAUAAUCCCAGCACUUUGGGAGGCUGAGGCAGGAGGAUUGCUUGAGGCCAGGAGACCAGCCUGGGCAGUAUAGUGAGACACCAUCUCUACAAAAUAUAAAAUCAGCCGGGUGUGGUGGCAUGUGCCUACAAUCGCAGCUAUCUGGGAGGUUGAGGGAGGAGGAUCCCUUGAGCCCAGGGGGUUGAGGCUCUUGUGAGCCGUCCUGAGCCACUGCACUUCAGCCUAUGUGAUAGAGUGAGACCCUGUCUCAAAAAAGGAAAAAGAAAAAAAAAAAUCUAACAGGGUGAUGUCUGUGAAGACAAUGUAAAAAAUAAGAAAACAACAAAAACCAAAAAAACCUAACAAAACAACAAAAAUCCCUUUCAAUUUUUAAUUUUUUUUUUUUUUUUUUUUUUUUUUUUUUUUUUUUUGUGAGGGUCUUUGUUCUGUUGCCUAAGCUUCAGUGCAAUGACCUGAUCAUAGCUCACUGUAGCCGCAAACUCCUGGGCUCAAGUGAUGCUUCUGCCUCCCACUUCAGCCUCCUGAGUGUCUGGGACUACAGGCACAUGCCACUGUGUCCAGCUAAUUUUUAAUUUUUUUUUUAGAGAUGGAGCCUCACAUUGUUGGCCAGGCUGUUGCUGAACUCCUGGCCUCAAGAGAUCCCCUCACCUCAGCCUCCCAAAGGCCUUUAGCCACCGUGCCUGACCCUCUUUUGUUUUAAAAACUGAAAUGCAAUUUUGCCUAAGCGGAAGUCCCUUAUGGUGGAUCCUGGAUGAGCCAGCUGCAGCAGAACAUCUGUUG
rnacentral:lncRNA from 1 species